UACGUAGGGGGCAAGCGUUGUCCGGAUUUAUUGGGCGUAAAGAGCGUGUAGGCGGCCAGACAGGUCUGCUGUGAAAACUCGAGGCUCAACCUCGAGACGCCGGUGGAAACCGUCUGGCUAGAGUCCGGAAGAGGAGAGUGGAAUUCCUGGUGUAGCGGUGAAAUGCGCAGAUAUCAGGAAGAACACCCGUGGCUAAGGCGGUUCUCUGGGCCUUACCUGACGCUGAGGAGCGAAAGCGUGGGGAGCGAACAGG
rnacentral:rRNA from 1 species